rnacentral:rRNA from 1 species
CCUACGGGUGGCAGCAGUGGGGAAUUUUGGACAAUGGGCGCAAGCCUGAUCCAGCCAUUCCGCGUGAGUGAAGAAGGCCUUCGGGUUGUAAAGCUCUUUCGCAAGGGAAGAAAACUUAUCCUCUAACAUAGGAUGAGGUUGACGGUACCUUGAUAAGAAGCACCGGCUAACUACGUGCCAGCAGCCGCGGUAAUACGUAGGGUGCGAGCGUUCAUCGGAAUUACUGGGCGUAAAUCGUGCGCAGGCUGUUAAAGCCCUGGGCUCAACCUAGGAACUGCGGUUGAAACUACAAGACUAGAAUAUGGCAGAGGAGGGUAGAAUUCCACGUGUAGCAGUGAAAUGCGUAGAGAUGUGGAGGAAUAUCAAUGGCGAAGGCAGCCCCCUGGGAUAAUAUUGACGCUCAUGCACGAAAGCGUGGGGAGCAAACAGGAUUAGAUACCCUUGUAGUC